AAGUAUAGCUUACUCUAAAGCAUUUGAAUGUUAAUCAAAAAGAAAGAAUAAUAAAUAUUUUUACUU
rnacentral:tRNA from 1 species